rnacentral:rRNA from 1 species
UGAGGAAUAUUGGUCAAUGGGCGAAAGCCUGAACCAGCCAUGCCGCGUGCAGGAAGACGGUCCUAUGGAUUGUAAACUGCUUUUAUUUGGGAAUAAACUCUGAUACGUGUAUCAGCCUGAAGGUACCAAAUGAAUAAGCACCGGCUAACUCCGUGCCAGCAGCCGCGGUAAUACGGAGGGUGCAAGCGUUAUCCGGAAUCAUUGGGUUUAAAGGGUCCGCAGGCGGUCAUAUAAGUCAGUGGUGAAAGCCUACAGCUCAACUGUAGAACUGCCAUUGAUACUGUAUGACUUGAAUUCGAUCGAAGUGGGCGGAAUAUGACAUGUAGCGGUGAAAUGCUUAGAUAUGUCAUAGAACACCGAUAGCGAAGGCAGCUCACUAGGUCUGGAUUGACGCUCAGGGACGAAAGCGUGGGGAGCAAACA